AGAAAAGAAAAGAAAAGAAAGAAGGUGCUGGUUCUGUAGUUGUUCUAUUUAAUAUUUGCAGCGGUAAGAAAAUAAGAAGGAAGAACAUUGGUCUUCCCUCUGUCUACCUGCCUGUCUCUGCCAGUUUCCAUGUCAGUGACAUUUUUUUUGUCCUUUUUUUAAAAAAAUAUUUUUAUCCUUCUUUUAGAACUCAAAACGUAUCGUUGAGCUUCUUUCUUUGUUGAGACCCAUUUGAAAUUUUUGUUUUUCUUGCAUUAUCCUUCUUUUUUGGUUUUGGGUUGCAGCUUUGUUCGUUUCCGAGCUAUGGAAAGUUUGAAGAUGGGUGCUUUUUUGUUAUGUUUUUCCUUUUUCUACGAGGCCUGUAAACCAGGAAGAACUGGAGCUUAAACAGUGUAAGAAUAGCAGAGUCAUGAUAUGGGGUGAAAGCUUUGUUCUUUGGGUUAAUCAGUGAAGACAAUCACACAAAUUUGGAGAGAUCUGCGUUCAGCUUUUUGCGUAUAACUACGAUGAAUUGAGACUUUAUCUGGGCUUUGCUCAUUUUAUUAUGCUUUGAAGUUAAACUUGGAGCGUAUUCUUUUGACUAUACUGAAGAAAUGGGUUGUGUAGCAUCA
rnacentral:misc_RNA from 1 species